CACACUGGCGUGCACCAGUAACUCCCUCGCCGCCCACUUGACAUGAAGGCUGUGGUGAGUACAGGCAGCAAGAAGACCCCAGAUUCGCCGCGUUGGUCAAAACAAGCUAAUUAUCAUCCUGACCACCACCACAGCCGUCCUGUGCCAACCCAACAUGUGGUCAAACAUGGAUCAGCAUUACCUAACGAUGAAUAACUACGUUACUCCGUAUUCACCUUCCUAUGGAACAUCAUUUAAUGAACCUUACGGAAAUACUUACUAUCUCUUCGUCUUCUACCCAUACGUCUACAAAGGCACCAAGAAAUUCAAUACUGUGAAGACCGCUACUUAAGAACAACUAACGAUACCCAUCUGUACCCAUCCUUGUUGGAUGGCACUGGCGUCUGUAACUAAAUAGAAAUAGUAAAUGUAGACCAGUGUUAAUAAAAUC